rnacentral:rRNA from 1 species
CAGAACGAACGCUGGCGGCGCGCUUAAGCAUGCAAGUCGAACGGCAAGAGGUAGCAAUACCUCCUAGAGUGGCGGACUGGUGAGUAACACGUGGGUGACAUACCCUUCAGAUGGGGAUAGCUAUUAGAAAUAGUAGAUAAUACCGAAUACGAGCACAGGGGUUAGAGAUCUGUGAGGAAAGGAGCUAAGGCUCCGCUGAAGGAAUGGCCUGCGGCCCAUUAGCUAGUUGGUGAGGUAAGAGCCCACCAAGGCGAUGAUGGGUAUCCGGCCUUAGAGGGUGAACGGACACAUUGGGACUGAGAUACGGCCCAGACUCCUACGGGAGGCAGCAGCUAAGAAUAUUCCGCAAUGGACGAAAGUCUGACGGAGCGACGCCGCGUGGAUGAAGAAGGCCGGAAGGUUGUAAAAUCCUUUUGAAACUGAAGAAUAAGCGUUGUAGGGAAUGACAGCGUGGUGACAGUAGGUUUUGAAUAAGCAACGGCUAAUUACGUGCCAGCAGCGGC